CGCUAAUGGAUGUAGAAGGAGAGCAUCGUGCAGUCUUGGCUGGCAGCAAGAUGCACCCGGGAGAGGAUGUUGGCGUAGGACAAUGAUCGGCAACCCUGCCGUCAGGAUGUAAAUACGCCCGUCUAUACUUUAUAGACUAGAUAUACUUCAGUUGCUUGUCAUAUCAUUCUACCUGUCAUCUUCUAAAGAAAGCAUUGAUCGAACAACAUUGUUAUAAAGAUUUCCCUGAAUUUAUUACUUUAUUUUUAUAAAUAGUUGCAUCCUGAAAAUCACUAAAGAACCCGACCUACGUGGCGGAACAGCGGAUUGAAUUUAUUGGCCAAUUAGCUUGCAAGGCCCACUGAAAUAUUUUGAAGCGGAAUAUACGACUAUCAAAAUCAGUGAGACGACCUUUUAUUUGUUGGCCAACAGUUCCUUUUUUUACAUGUUAUUCAUGUUAUUGUUCAUUGAAACGCCUUAACAAAUGUUAAAAGUAAUAGGAAUUGUGAAUAUAACUGUUAGUAUUUGAAUUUACUGCUGAAAUCGAUAAACUUUUCACAAG
rnacentral:lncRNA from 1 species